CGCACAUUUGUUUCUGUCACGGCGGAGGAAGAACAGAACAGACCAGAACUAAACAGCCCGUCAACAAGGAAAAAAAGAUCAUUGUUGCUGUGUGUGCGCGCCCUGAACUGAACACAUCAUUCUACAGUUACAGAGAAAAGAAAGAAACAAAGAAGGAAAGUUGCCUGGACCAAAGUCAGCGAGGAAGUUGGCCUGUCUGAGGGCGUGUGUAGGAAGAAGUGGAAAGGGCCUGUGAGAUACUUAUCUGAAGGAAAAAAAGAAGGACACUGACAAAAGAAUUGGGUCAGCGGCCGGGAACGUGCUAAAGGGGAAGUUCUCUGGGGUCUUCUCGUUCCUUGACCCCUUUGUUACCCCAAGAAAGACAAGCUGUAACAUGGCGGGGGAGGUCGACUCUAGUGAGCCAUCCCCAGGUUUGGAGCAGGGGCCAGAGUCAACAGCAGGACUAUCAGCCUCAAAUAUGGGAGAUCUAUCAUUUGGUGAGGCUGAGCUAAGUACUGUUGAUGCCCCUGCAGCACCUGACAACACACCAGAGAAGGAGAGCCCACAAGAGAGCCAGGGAGAUGGAGAUCGAAACACUGCUUCUCCAAGCACUGAAGAGUCCUUCCCCACCUCUAUCAGAGGAUGAGCUUUUCCUACAAAGCCUGGCUCCGUCCCUAAAGCUAUUGCCGCCCCAGCAGAAAGAAAUUGUUAAAUUCCAGAUGUAUAAACUUGUUUUUGAGACCACCACUGUGGUGCUGGAUCUGGACUGCCAGGGAGAUAGUUGUAUAUAAAAAAAAACUGUGAUUGUUUUGCUGUGGAUUUAUUGCUGUGUAUUUAUUUAUGACUGGAUAUAAGAAUAAAAACACUUUACUUUGAUA